rnacentral:rRNA from 1 species
GGUGGAAGCCGGGCGACUCUGGCGGGACGUGCCAUCGACAAGAUGGAGGAAGGUGGGGAGUGACGUCAAGUCAUCAUGGCCCUUAUGUCCAGGGCGACACACGUGCUACAAUGGCCGGCACAGCGGGAAGCGAGGCAGUGAUGCCGAGCGGAUCCCUUAAAGCCGGUCUCAGUUCGGAUUGAAGUCUGCAACUCGACUUCAUGAAGCUGGAAUCGCUAGUAAUCGCAGAUCAGCCAAGCUGCGGUGAAUACGUUCCCGGGCCUU